UAUAUUUGAGAGUUUGAUCCUGGCUCAGGAUGAACGCUGGCGGCGUGCCUAACACAUGCAAGUCGAGCGAACCCUUCGGGGUGAGCGGCGGACGGGUGAGUAACGCGUGGGUAACCUGCCCUGUACACACGGAUAACAUACCGAAAGGUAUGCUAAUACGGGAUAACAUAUGAGAGUCGCAUGGCUUUUGUAUCAAAGCUCCGGCGGUACAGGAUGGACCCGCGUCUGAUUAGCUAGUUGGUAAGGUAACGGCUUACCAAGGCAACGAUCAGUAGCCGACCUGAGAGGGUGAUCGGCCACAUUGGAACUGAGACACGGUCCAAACUCCUACGGGAGGCAGCAGUGGGGAAUAUUGCACAAUGGGCGAAAGCCUGAUGCAGCAACGCCGCGUGAGCGAUGAAGGCCUUCGGGUCGUAAAGCUCUGUCCUCAAGGAAGAUAAUGACGGUACUUGAGGAGGAAGCCCCGGCUAACUACGUGCCAGCAGCCGCGGUAAUACGUAGGGGGCUAGCGUUAUCCGGAAUUACUGGGCGUAAAGGGUGCGUAGGCGGUCUUUCAAGCCAGAAGUGAAAGGCUACGGCUCAACCGUAGUAAGCUUUUGGAACUGUAGGACUUGAGUGCAGGAGAGGAGAGUGGAAUUCCUAGUGUAGCGGUGAAAUGCGUAGAUAUUAGGAGGAACACCAGUAGCGAAGGCGGCUCUCUGGACUGUAACUGACGCUGAGGCACGAAAGCGUGGGGAGCAAACAGGAUUAGAUACCCUGGUAGUCCACGCCGUAAACG
rnacentral:rRNA from 2 species